rnacentral:rRNA from 1 species
UACGAAGGGGGCUAGCGUUGUUCGGAAUUACUGGGCGUAAAGCGCGCGUAGGCGGUUUUGCAAGCCAGAGGUGAAAUGCCUGAGCUCAACUCAGGAAUGGCCUUUGGGACUGCGAGGCUUUGAGGACUGGAGAGGUGAGUGGAAUUCCCAGUGUAGAGGUGAAAUUCGUAGAUAUCGGAAGGAACACCAGUGGCGAAAGCGGCUUCCUGGUCCAGCACCGACGUUCAGGCACGAAAGCGUGGGGAGCAAACAGG